UGUUGGCACAUUCCUUUCAGAUUGUGUGGUGUUAUCACAAUGUGUGCCUCAUCCUGUCAGAAUAGGACUCGCUCUUUCAUGGACGUUAAAGAAGGCUCGUCACAACAGCUUGUCUCUUCGACCAGAGCGAUUUGGUGGUGUUUUUGCACUUUUAGCCUAGUUUAUUGUGGGUUUUUCUUCUUUUUUUUGUCCUCAAAAAAUUUGAUCAAGGUGAGUGAACUGUCAAAGUGUAGCUAAAAGUCUCGGGAACCCAUUUCAGACGUCUUUGAAAGAAAGGAUUGAGACAUUGUUUCUUGUUUGACUGCUGAAGAUUCAGUUUAAGUGAUUAGGUAACAAAGGACAAGGCGACAUGUCACAUUCUCUUUGUGAUUUGCCUGUCACAAGGGGCUGUCGUUGUGCAAAUGUUUUUGAGUUGUUGAAGGCUGACAAAAAUGAGAGUUAAAUGCGCAGACAUGCUGAAUCGCAUUGGUUUCGGAGAGCGAAGGAUGAAUUCUUUUGUGCUGUCGUGAACCUGGCAUACAAUGUAGAUUUCUGUGUGGUACAAUCUACAGCUACAUUGUCUGCUGGGUUUCAGGCCAGCAGAAAAACCCUGCUCUGCUCAGAAGUUGAAAAGGUGAGUCGUGGAGUCGUUAUGCAUGCUUGAAAAAGACUUAUUCCUACUACGUGAAUAAAAUACAAUAAAAGUACUGAAAGUAUAAAAA